AAUUAAUCUGUCACGCCCCGGGACCGGCAGAGGCUCUCCCGGUAGCGCGCCCAGACCCGCCAUAUGUCUACACAUAUAAGGCGUCUACAACAACAGCGGAAAUAAAGCAAGAGAUGAUCUACAACUAGAGAUAUCAGAGCAAGUACACAACUAUAAUCUAUGAUAAAAGAAGUAGGAACAAAACUAAAUAAUAAAGAGGAAACAUAAAGUUAUACAAUAACCAUCUCAAAA
rnacentral:lncRNA from 1 species